CUGUCGUGACAUCAUACGUCGUUAAGCGUUCCCUCAUGUCGUUGUUUGAAAAAUAUGUUAAAUGUGUAAUUAAUUUGCGCCUGUAUCGUCGGACUGUGUUAGAAACAGAUUUAAUUAGUAUCUCUGUUUGUGUGUAUAUUAGAAAUAUAACUCCUUUUCUUACGCAAUUUAAAUAGUUACACUUUUGUUAUUGUUGAAACAGUAUUUGAGAAAUUUCGGAUGUGAAGGGUGAAAGUAAUUUUUGUAAGAUAACAUUUAUAAGAUCUGCAUAUUCAGCCGAGUUGGUUGCAUAAUUCUUCGGAAGCGUUGACUUCCGAGGACGACCGGUUUUUCACGCCAGACUAGACAAAAUAUUUUCAUAAAAAAUCUUCGGAAAGUUGAUUUAAAAACUCAAAUGUCUGACAAGUGUGAUGCAAUGUAAAUAUUAUUGGAAAAAUCCGCCAUUUUGCGACGAUCUCGAGGGUGGUUAGCCUCUAAGGAUUCAAAAACCCUUCGAACAUAUUGGAUUAACAAAUAAGUGCGAAUAUUCGAUGGAAAAUUAUCUAAAUUAUUACAUCGUACAUUAAGUUAGGUCCUGUUAAGUUCAGAUUUACAAAUCUUUGGAGGAAUUUUCUACAAGUAAAGGAAAUAACAUUCAUUUACAAGAUUACAGGCUAUAUAUUGAGUGAAACUGAAGAUUCUGUGCAACUUUCAAACUUCUGACAUCUAAAACGAAUACAUACAAAGUUUUUCUAAUUAAUGUAACAUUCACAGAAAUAUUAUUUGAACUGCGCACUUCGUGGAAACCGUUUCGUGUGAAUUAUCUAAACGCGUGCCAGAACAUUGUUGAACAUUAAAAUUUCAAAGAUUAAAUCACGCCUCCUCGAGUGUUCGAACGAGAAUGAGGAGAAGAUCGCACGAAGAGGAAACAAUGUACACAAGAGACUGAAGAUUACAGUGCCGAACGAUUUACAUUUGAAUACGCUAUUAAUACUAACAAUUACGAAGAACACUGGCGUCGUACGAUCACUUUGAUGGAACUAUUUAACGGACAGUUCGUGAAUGAAGUGAACAAUCAUCGAAGGCACGUCUCGCGGAUGAUCUUCUAUCGUAGAAGAAGUAAAAGAAUGACAAUGGCGUCUGUAGUGGCUAUAUUCUUACUUCUUUGUGGCGCCUGAAACAGAAAAUACAUUGAACGAAUUAAUAUUCUUCUUUUACUCGAUUAAUAAAACGAUAGAAGUAAAUAUUGCGAAUCAGGAAUAGGAUUUUGUGAUUAUGUUAUAUUUUUGUUAUGUCUUAUUAACUCUUUGCUCUCGAGAGGUAAUGUGAAAGUGAGAUGAAAUAUUGAAAUAAAAUAGCUUUGUUUCUUAAUUUACGUAUGUUUGAUCAUUAAUUAUUUACAAAGAAUGUUGUCAGAACUCAGAAUAAAAUCGAAAAUGUUAAAUAUUUCUAAUGAAAAGCUUUUGAGCGCAAAGAGUUAAUUGAGUAAAAUAUUGUAAUGAGAAAAUCGGAGAAAUUGGGGCAAACACUGCUUAAAGGCAGUAGACGAUGAUGAAGCUAAGACGAGGAAAUUACUAGUACGAAAGAAGCUUGCCUUUUUAAGGCAGCUUGAGAAGGUUUCAAGAAAUAAUGAUGAUGAAAGUCCGAUUAAGUAACCAGUCCCUGUGAAUUCCCCGGGUAAAAGAGAACGAUUGAGUGAUUAGCUCGAGUGGAAUGUCAAUUCCCAACCCGGAUUUCAAUGAACCUUUUGAAUCACUCCGAGCUUCUUAAGGACUUAGUUCUUUCAAAGGGUUUCCGAGUAUACGCGGAGAACGUUCUCGCAAAUACUUGCUUUUUCGUAAUCGUUGAAGAAAGGAAACCUUAAUUAAUAUGUGAACAGUCUUGGUCAUUAGAAAAAUAUCAAAAGCGCAACAGUUGGAGAUUCUACAAAUUUAAUACUUUCACAAAAAAAGUAAAGUAAAAUACACAAGAAAAAAAGAAAUCUCAGAUAAUAAUUAAAGUUUGAAUUCCUUUCCGUAAAACACAAACACAUCUAAAUAUUUACAUUAAAAUUUCUCCAAAGUUUGCUAUCAAUAUACACCAAUACCCUAUACAACGACAAACCAAUAAUCGCUAUAUCAAAUAAAAUAAUUAUUAAAAAAUAAACUCGUUUUCAUAAAUUAAUUUCCAUUUAGCAAUUGCUCCAGUCAUUUAUUAAACAAUGAAUAAACACAAGCAAACAAAAUCUUACCU